GACGAACGCUGGCGGCGUGCUUAACACAUGCAAGUCGAGCGGUAAGGCCCUUUCGGGGGUACGACGAGCGGCGAACGGGUGAGUAACACGUGGGUGACCUGCCCUUACGCUCUGGGAUAAGCCUGGGAAACUGGGUCUAAUACCGGAUAUGACUCCAUGACGCAUGUUGUGGGGUGGAAAGCCUUGUGCGGCUAGGGAUGGGCCUGCGGCCUAUCAGCUUGUUGGUGGGGUGAUGGCCUACCAAGGCGACGACGGGUAGCCGGCCUGAGAGGGCGACCGGCCACACUGGGACUGAGACACGGCCCAGACUCCUACGGGAGGCAGCAGUGGGGAAUCUUGCGCAAUGGGCGAAAGCCUGACGCAGCGACGCCGCGUGGGGAUGACGGCCU
rnacentral:rRNA from 1 species